UCACUCCUUGCUGCCUCACACAGGUAAAUAGAAACAUCAUUCCAUCAGAUAUUUCAUGAUUAGUACAUGUGCAUAAUAAUACGUUGAGAUAAGAUAAUCAGAUCGGAAACCAUUCUAUACAAUCCAAUCUUGUUCCAUAAAAAAUAUAUUGUGAUGAUCAGUACUGCAUUUGUCCAUGAAGGAUUAUGUUGUAUGUGCUAAGUUCAAUCUGCGUUCCACUUUCGGUAAUCCUGACAUAGAGUUCUUUUGCAGCAGCAGUUCUUCUGGUUUGAAAUAAACCUUGCAGAAUUAUGUUAUACGUAAUAAUAUCAGGACUAACACCACUGCUCUCCAUCUCCUUAAAAAGAACUAACGCGUCUUCCAUCCUACUAAUUUUGCAGUAGCCAUUAAUCAAAGUGCUAUAAGUAACAGUAUUAGGCAUGACACCAUUCUUAACCAUCGUGGUAAGUACCUCCAUGGCUUGUCCAUAGCUUGACCCUUGCAUAACGCAGCAAUAAUAGAGCUGUAGGUCACAACAUCAGGUAAAAUCCCCCGGUCCAGCAUUUCAUGGUAUGUACUGUAAGCUUUGUCUGAAUCCCCCUCUUUGAAGAAGCCAUUGAUGACAGUGGUAUACGACACCACAUCAGGUGGGCUACCUCCUCCUCGAUCAUCAGCCAUCAUGUGCAGCAACUCGAGAGCUUCUUGGCUUCUGUUCUCAUCACACAGCCCGUUGAGAAGAUUAUUGUAGGAGAAGACAUUUGGUAUGCAACCGAGCUCGGUCAUUCUGCGGAGCACUAUGUCCAUUGCGUCGCUCGUCCUCUUGUCGGCACAGAGGCCCUUGAGCAGAGGAGUGAAGGUGAUGGCUUCCACUCUAAAUCCCUUCUUAAUGACAUUGCCCAAGGCCGCGAAACCGAGGUCCAAGCGGCCCGCGCGGCAGCAGCAACCGAUGAGAAUGCCGUAGGUGCACAAGUCGGGAGUUACCUCGUCGGCGCCAGCUCGGGCCAUGCGGUUGUAGCGGGACACGGCGGCCGCGGGGCUGUGACGCGCGACGUCGGCGAGGGCGCGGUUCAAGCCGUAGAUCGAGGCGCCCCUGCCACGCCGGAGCAAUUCGUCGAACACGUGGCGUGCGUCCUCGGCGCCACUGCCCCCCGCGCGG
rnacentral:sRNA from 1 species